rnacentral:rRNA from 1 species
UACGUAGGGUGCAAGCGUUGUCCGGAAUUAUUGGGCGUAAAGAGCUCGUAGGCGGUCUGUCGCGUCGGAUGUGAAAACCCAGGGCUCAACCCUGGGCCUGCAUUCGAUACGGGCAGACUAGAGUUCGGUAGGGGAGACUGGAAUUCUUGGUGUAGCGGUGAAAUGCGUAGAUAUCAAGAGGAACACCUGCGGCGAAGGCGGGUUGCUGGGCUGACACUGACGCUGAGGCGCGAAAGCUAGGGGAGCGAACGGG